AAUAUUACUAACCACUCAAAUCAUAAAUAAACCAUUACUACACGACCAGUAGCCUAAAACAUGCGAUCGAAAAUUAAACCAGAAGCAAUAGAGACAGUACCGCAAGGGAAAAAAAUGAAAUAAUACUACCUACCACACGUAUAAAAAAGCAGAGAUUAACCCACGUACCUUUUGCAUCAUGAUUCAGCAAGAACACCCGGCCAAAAUGACUUCUAGCCCGUCCACCCGAAAUCAAGUGAGCUACUUCCAGGCGGCCUAACAGGGCCUACCCAUCUCUGUUGCAAAAGAGAGAAAAGACCCAGAAGUAGAGGUGAAAAGCCAAACGAACUUGACGAUAGCUGGUUGCCUGAUAAAUGAAUUUCAGUUCACCUCUUAGCACUUCCCCGCAAACAAAAUAGCACCCCACAGCUAAGAACAUACUCAAUAAUGGAACACCACCAUUGAGACAGAACACAACCUGAACCAGAGAGACAUCAAAACCUCACCACCCGUAGGCCUCAAAACAGCCAUCGAAGACAAAAACGUUACAGUAUCUAUAACAAAAAUACCAUAAAUCAUCCCAACCUCCUGCAAACCAUCAGGCUACUCUAUAUCACUAUAGAGGAACUAAUGCUGAAACUAGUAACAAGAAUAAACCUUCUCUAGACAUACCCUUAAAUCAGCCCUAGAACACCUACUGACAAUUAACAGAACCCAACCCCAUCCACUAAUCACCCACUGUUAACCCGACACAGGAAUGUCAACAAGAAAGAUUAAAAGUUAAAAAAGGAACUCGGCAAAGCCAUUAUUCCGACUGUUUACCAAAAACAUAGCCUCUGGCAUUCACAGUAUCAGAGGUAACGCCUGCCCAGUGAGCAUAUUUCAACGGCCGCGGUAUCCUAACCGUGCAAAGGUAGCGCAAUCACUUGUCCCCUAAAUAGUGACUAGUAUGAACGGCCAUACGAGAAUAAACCUGUCUCUUUUGACAAAUCAGUGAAACUGAUCUUCCAGUACAAAAGCUGGAAUAUCAACAUAAGACGAAAAGACCCUGUGGAGCUUCAAUAUCACUCUACCUCCAUUAGCACAAAUAUUUUAGUUGGGGCAACUUCGGAACAAAACUAAACUUCCGAGCAUACUCCGGAAACACCGUUAUCAAGACAAACAUGUCAAAACCCGAGCCAGAUCCAGUAACCCACUGACCAACGAACCAAGUUACCCCAGGGAUAACAGCGCCAUCUUCUUCUAGAGCCCCCAUCGACAAGAAGGUUUACGACCUCGAUGUUGGAUCAGGACACCCCAGCAGCGCAGCCGCUACUAAAGGUUCGUUUGUUCAACGAUUAAAGCCCUACGUGAUCUGAGUUCAGACCGGAGCAAUCCAGGUCGGUUUCUAUCUAUGCACUAUUCUCUUCAGUACGAAAGGACAAAGAAAAUAGGACCCAUGUUUAAAACAAGUCCUCACCAACCCUGAAACAAUAUUAAACCCACAGUACCCGCACUGCCCAAAAACAGGACUA
rnacentral:rRNA from 1 species